rnacentral:rRNA from 1 species
UGGGGAAUAUUGGACAAUGGGCGAAAGCCUGAUCCAGCCAUGCCGCGUGUGUGAAGAAGGCCUUUUGGUUGUAAAGCACUUUAAGUGGGGAGGAAAAGCUUAUGGUUAAUACCCAUAAGCCCUGACGUUACCCACAGAAUAAGCACCGGCUAACUCUGUGCCAGCAGCCGCGGUAAUACAGAGGGUGCAAGCGUUAAUCGGAAUUACUGGGCGUAAAGCGCGCGUAGGUGGUUAUUUAAGUCAGAUGUGAAAGCCCCGGGCUUAACCUGGGAACUGCAUCUAAUACUGGAUAACUAGAGUAGGUGAGAGGGGAGUAGAAUUCCAGGUGUAGCGGUGAAAUGCGUAGAGAUCUGGAGGAAUACCGAUGGCGAAGGCAGCUCCCUGGCAUCAUACUGACACUGAGGUGCGAAAGCGUGGGUAGCAAACAGGAUUAGAUACCCUGGUAGUCCACGCCGUAAACGAUGUCUACCAGUCGUUGGGUCUUUUAAAGACUUAGUGACGCAGUUAACGCAAUAAGUAGACCGCCUGGGGAGUACGGCCGCAAGGUUA